rnacentral:rRNA from 1 species
AUUGAACGCUAGCGGGAGGCCUAACACAUGCAAGUCGAACGAGUGGCGGACGGGUGAGUAAUAUCUGGGAAACUGCCUGAUGGAGGGGGAUAACUACUGGAAACAGUGGCUAAUACCGCAUACCAUCAGCUGUGCCCAGAUGGGAUUAGCUUGUUGGUGGGGUAAAGGCUCACAAAGGCAACGAUCCCUAGCUGGUCUGAGAGGAUGACCAGCCACACUGGAACUGAGACACGGCCCAGACUCCGACGGGAGGCAGCAGUGGGGAAUAUUGGACAAUGGGCGCAAGCCUGAUGCAGCCAUGCCGCGUGUAUGAAGAAGGCCUUCGGGUUGUAAAGUACUUUCAGCGGGGAGGCGGUACCAGCAGAAGAAGCACCGGCUAACUCCGUGCCAGCAGCCGCGGUAAUAC